rnacentral:lncRNA from 10 species
CAAUCAUUUCUAGGGGAAAAUUAUUGAAGGUGUCAGGUUUUUCAUAAGCAUGAGUACAGAACUGAGCAGGGAGAAAGACUUUGGGCCCAAUGUCUGAAUAUCAACAUGCACCCCCGUUUCCUGCAUUUCCAAGAUGUCCCUGAAUGGUGUAUCCAAAAGAUGGCAAAUUUCCCUCCUCAGUGGGGUCGUGGGCUAGCAGAUGAGCCCCUUGGGUUUCCCAUCACCUCCCAUCAGGCUCAUUUCCAUCCUUGAUUUCGUCCAUCCUGGUUCUCCUGACAAGGGGCAUUUAUCAGAGUUAUGGCAUGGGAAAUCACAGGGGAGUAAUGUACCAUGGCAUUUAAGAGUAUGAACGUUGGAGUCGGAGCUAUUUUCUCCGCUACUUACUAGCUGUGUGACUUUGGGCAAGUUACUUAGCCUUUCUCUGAGCCUCACUUUCUUUAUCUGUAAAGUGAGGGCGAUCAGAAUAAACCUCCUUCAUAUGGUUAUUUUGAGCUUUAUAAAGAGACAAUACUGGCUGAGCACGGUGGCUCACUGCCAGUAAUCCCAGCACUUUAGGAGGCCAAAGCUGGAGGAUCGCUUGAGCCCAGGAGUUGGAGACCAGCCUGGGCAACAUAGGGAAUGAGACUCCUGUCUCUACAAAAAAUAUACAAAAAUUAGUCAGGCAUGGUGGUACGUGCCUGUAAUCCCAUCUACUCAGGAGGCUAAGGCAGGAGGAUCGCUUGAGCCCAGGAGGUGGAGGUUGCAGUGAGCCAAGAUCACGCCAUUGUACUCCAGCCUGGGCAACAGGAGUGAAACCCUGUCUGAGAGAGAGAGAGAGAGAGAAAAUACUACUAUGGUGCUUAUAAAAGUUCAAUAAAUUUUAGCUGUUGUUAGUAUUAUUAAAGUAAGAUCUGUAUGAAAAUAAAGCAGAUUUUUUCCCCCAAA